rnacentral:tRNA from 1 species
GGGGGUAUAGCUCAGUGAUAGAGCAUUCGAUUGCAGAUCGAGAGGUCCUCGGAUCAAACCCGGGUGUCAUUU